GGUAGCGUGUCUUGGCUCCUCUGAGACUUUCUUUGGAGCUCUUAUGCCCCGGGAAGCCUCUGGCAACCUUGCUCUGGGGCAGGGAGGAUGGGUGAUGAGACAGACCCUGGCGAUCCCUGGCCACGGGCUUCUCGGGUCCCUAUCCUGUCCAGAGAAAAGCCUGGAGACUACUAGGGGAGGCAGGGUAUUAAACAGAGGAGAGGAAGGAGACCAGGUUACAGAGGCUUCGGUUCUCUUUUUUUCUUUUUCUUUUCUAAACUGCCAACACAAUAUCCGUGCCGAGGGAAAUUCCCCCGACAAGCCCCAACGGUCUAGCCUCCAGGUAAAAUGGGGAGGAUACUGCGUUCCAGGGCCAGGGGCGCGCGGGGAUCCUUGCUGCAAUUUGGUCCUGGGACAACCCCAGGACCUGUACGAGAUUUUCCAAACGGACAAUAGAUUCUGCUCGCUCAGAGGAGAUCGAAGCAGAGACUGCCAACUAGGCUCCAAGGGCGCGCAGAGAGCCCAGGCGCGUACUCAGAGGAAGCGGUAUCUCCGCGCUGGGCUGGCGCCAGCCCUGGAAACGAGUGGGUUCGGGUCCCAGGACCAGGAGAGAAGGGGGACUGAUUCAUUGGUGUUCCCUCUGUAGGCUCCCUAUUCGCUAAGCUAAGCUCCAUGCCCAGAGAAGAGGGACUGAAAUUCACACCUCCUCCUACCUCCAACUCCUUCAGGCGCCCAAAGCUGCUGGAGGCUCUGGGCUAUGUUAAGACCUUUUUUCUGCCGUCCUUUCAUUCCCCAAUCUGGGUAUGAGGGCGCGGGAGAAAGGACUUCUUCACUCUGGAUCGGAACUGGUAGAAAACUACAGUCUUCCGCCUUAACGCGAGACAAACCGCGGGCCCGCCCCCGGGGGAAGGUCUCCGCCGCUGAGGCUGCUUGAGAGCUCCGGUGCGCACCCCGGCAUGUUCGGGUCCAGCAGCCCGCCAGGUGCGCUGCCGACGCCGCAGGCGGGAGCAAGAUUAAGAAAGUCAUGUAUCCCCUGGGAGGGAGAGGCUGCACGUCGCUGUCCUGACACCGCGCCCCAGGGCUCAAGCGGGAGUCAGAGGGAAUGAGAAGAGUGGGAAGUCCGAGGCUAAGUUUGGGUGAGAGCUUCCCAGAAUCUUUCUCCAUCUCAAGAAGUGGAACUUGGACUCCGCUCCAAGGCCUUCCUCCUUGGUUGGGUCUUGGAGAGCACUGAACAGAUCUCAAACCUGGGAUCUUAAAGAAUCCCAAAUCUGGGUGCACCUCAGCAGAAUACGCUUUCAGGGACCAGACUGUCAGGAAAACCGCAGCUCUCUAGCGGGCCAGGAAACACCACAUGGUUCAGGGCAUCUGACAAAGUGCUGCCCAAAACCUAAAGCUGGUUCUGAGACCAGUAACAUCAC